UACGACUACAUAUCAGGCAUAUCAAUAAGCGGAGGAAAAGAAACUAACAAGGAUUCCCCUAGUAACGGCGAGUGAAGCGGGAAGAGCUCAAAUUUGAAAUCUUAAAGGGUUUCCCUUUACGAAUUGUAGUUUAAAGAAGUGUUUUCUGUUGGAGUUUCGGUAAAAGUUCUCUGGAAUAGGACAUCAUAGAGGGUGAGAAUCCCGUAUUUGACCGUUACUUUCCAGCUGUGUGAUACACUUUCAAAGAGUCGGAUUGUUUGGGAAUGCAGUCCAAAAUGGGUGGUAAAUUUCAUCUAAAGCUAAAUAUUGGCGAGAGACCGAUAGCGAACAAGUACCGUGAGGGAAAGAUGAAAAGAACUUUGAAAAGAGAGUUAAACAGUACGUGAAAUUGUCAAAAGGGAAGCGUUUGACACCAGUGUUGUUUAGUUGAAAAUCAAUUCAAUAGUUUUUGAUUCUAAGUAGUAUUGACUUCAUCAGCUUGCUGCUUUCUUCUCAGAAAUUAUUGAAUGCACUUUUCAGUUAACAAGUCAACAUCAAUUUCUUUUGUUGUAAAAGGGUAAGAGGAAGGUGGCUUGCGCUUCGGCUCAAGUGUUUAUAGCCUUUUAUCUCUGCAAUCGGAGAGAUUGAGGUCUGCAGCGUAGAUCCUUCGGGGUUAGAUACAUUGGUGCUAAGCUAUAGCCUUGUAUAGACAACUUGUUGACUAUGCUCAGUCAUGUAGCUUACUCGCUGAUGCUAUUUUACCUACGCUUAGGAUGUUGAAUCUGUGCGAGACUAC
rnacentral:rRNA from 1 species